rnacentral:rRNA from 1 species
UUUCGGCAAGGGGUCAUCCCGACUUACCAACCCGAUGCAAACUGCGAAUACCGGAGAAUGUUAUCACGGGAGACACACGGCGGGUGCUAACGUCCGUCGUGAAGAGGGAAACAACCCAGACCGCCAGCUAAGGUCCCAAAGUCAUGGUUAAGUGGGAAACGAUGUGGGAAGGCCCAGACAGCCAGGAUGUUGGCUUAGAAGCAGCCAUCAUUUAAAGAAAGCGUAAUAGCUCACUGGUCGAGUCGGCCUGCGCGGAAGAUGUAACGGGGCUAAACCAUGCACCGAAGCUGCGGCAGCAACACUAUGUGUUGUUGGGUAGGGGAGCGUUCUGUAAGCCUGUGAAGGUGUACUGUGAGGUACGCUGGAGGUAUCAGAAGUGCGAAUGCUGACAUAAGUAACGAUAAAGCGGGUGAAAAGCCCGCUCGCCGGAAGACCAAGGGUUCCUGUCCAACGUUAAUCGGGGCAGGGUGAGUCGACCCCUAAGGCGAGGCCGAAAGGCGUAGUCGAUGGGAAACAGGUUAAUAUUCCUGUACUUGGUGUUACUGCGAAGGGGGGACGGAGAAGGCUAUGUUGGCCGGGCGACGGUUGUCCCGGUUUAAGCGUGUAGGCUGGUUUUCCAGGCAAAUCCGGAAAAUCAAGGCUGAGGCGUGAUGACGAGGCACUACGGUGCUGAAGCAACAAAUGCCCUGCUUCCAG